GAUGAACGCUGGCGGCGUGCCUAAUACAUGCAAGUCGAGCGAACAGACGAGGAGCUUGCUCCUCUGACGUUAGCGGCGGACGGGUGAGUAACACGUGGAUAACCUACCUAUAAGACUGGGAUAACUUCGGGAAACCGGAGCUAAUACCGGAUAAUAUAUUGAACCGCAUGGUUCAGUAGUGAAAGACGGUUUUGCUGUCACUUAUAGAUGGAUCCGCGCCGCAUUAGCUAGUUGGUAAGGUAACAGCUUACCAAGGCAACGAUGCGUAGCCGACCUGAGAGGGUGAUCGGCCACACUGGAACUGAGACACGGUCCAGACUCCUACGGGAGGCAGCAGUAGGGAAUCUUCCGCAAUGGGCGAAAGCCUGACGGAGCAACGCCGCGUGAGUGAUGAAGGUCUUCGGAUCGUAAAACUCUGUUAUUAGGGAAGAACAAAUGUGUAAGUAACUAUGCACGUCUUGACGGUACCUAAUCAGAAAGCCACGGCUAACUACGUG
rnacentral:rRNA from 1 species